CAUCAACUAAUCUUAACUGAAUGUGGACUCUAAUUUUCAAAUGUGACGCGGAAGAGUAUGAUGCUGUGCCCAGUGUGUGGAUCAUCACUAAGUCUUCUGCUAAAUAUCCUACUGAUCAACCCAUCACUACUGUUAUCGACCUAGCUGCAGCCGGCGAGGAUUUGGCAACAUUUGAUCCUAUUUCUAUUCAAGUGAUCAAAGAGGAGUAUGAUUCUUUCAAAAAGUGCUCUGACGAUGCCUGGCGGCUAAAUGGUGGAAGAGCAAGAGCAUCGGAAUCUGAAAGAAACCGAAAGGUAGAGGCCACCGGCAAAAAAAGAGAACUAGCCGCUUAUCAUCAUCAGACUCUAAUGACGAUUCGUGUGAUGAACCUACCAGAAAAAAAUCCAAGAAAGGUGGCAAGCGAGGAAGGAGGAAGAGACUUGAUUCAUCUGACGAAGAUGAGGAGAGGCGGAGGAAAAUUGACGAGGCCUUGGCAAAAUUAACUCACAAGACUCCGUUGCCAACACCUCCUGCUUUGACAGCAAAGGACUCCUCAACCAGAAAAACACAUGACGAGGCCUUGGAAAAGUUUACUCAUAAAGCUCCAUCGCCAACGCUCCCUACUUCGACAGCAAAAGACUCCACAACCAGAAAAACAUCAACAUCAUCUUAUUCUGAUGUUCUUUUUUGGCCAUCCACCUCCACUGCCGCUCAAUUCACAGAGGGAGUACUUACAUCAAAAACUGUAGUAACAGAUCGCCCCAAGACUCCUGAUUUUCUGCAAAAUGAUCAAGAUGGGCCCAUCAACUUGAAUACUCCCCUGAAAAAUCAGCUCAACUCAGGUCAAAGUUCACCUCCCAAAUCAGCUCAGAAAAAGUUGAACUUUGAUAAGAACCCCACUGGCCAGUCUCCGAGGAAAGCGAAAAAACCGAGAUGUAAUUUAGGCAAGAAAAUCAAACAUACUUGCCCGUUCCUCUUCCAAGGAUCCACCAGUGAAGCGGUGAUGCACGUCUUAUGCACAUUGUCCGCUGAUAUUAAGAGUGUACUAAGCCACGCAAAAAGGUCAAAAGUUACAGCACCUGCCCCUGGAGCCGAAGAGUUGGAGGAGUUAAAAGAGGUCCCUCUACCUGAGGCCAUUGCGAACCUGCUUCCUUGUCCAACCAAAGAAGCAGUUGAUGAGGCAGAGAACUUUUUAAAACAAGAUAGAGCUCAUGUUGAAACAGUGAUCAAUUAUUUCAAAUUCUUGUGUCAACACGAUUCAGGACUAUCAAAAACUGCCCGCAACAUUCUCCGAGAAUGGAUGGUGAAAGAAGUCCAACAACUCUACUCCCUAAGAGGUGGGCAUGCGAAUAAGAAAUUGAAAGCGGGGCAGAAGAAAAAACACGCGUUGAACAAACUAACUAUCUACUCCAUUAUCCAGAAAGUUGUGAAAAGUCUUUAUGCGGGAAAAGUUGCCAACUACCAUGACUUGAUGGAUAGCACUCUUGGAUCUCUCCUCACGAGCUCUACCGCUGAGCCAGCUGAAGAAUGAGUAGGCUUUGACCAGGACGUGCGGAUGAUUAAAUAGUAUUUACAGAAAUGUCUAUUCUUUAACUUCCAUUUUCUUUAGGUGAAAACUGUUAUUUGUUGUGUUUGGCACCUCUCCUAUAUAUAAGUAUUGUGAUCGAAUGAAUACUGGUGGGUGACGAAGUUUUAAUUCUAUCAGAAGCUUUGAUGAACUGUUUUAUUUUCAGUUUCAUGCUUUUUCACAUAUCAUAAUUUGUUUUGUUGUUUUGACGAAAGCAUACAGUGGUUGUAAAAAAGGUUUGAAUAAUGAUCUAUCUUUCGAUAAUUUCUGAAUCUAAGUCAAUUUUGGAGAUCCCUGAGUCAUCACACCGUUCUGUAUCAGAUAUUGUGUACAAACUUUAAUUGGAAAGCAUUUCAAAAUUGCUUCGGAAGCACUUACUUGAAGUUGCUUCAUCUUAAUAUCUGAGUCAUUCACGUUAGGUGGCUCUCGUAGUGUUUUCAAAAUGUUUCCGGUUUGGAUUUUUCGCAUUCAUCUGUGAUGCACUGAGAGUUACUGUGACCUUAUGGGAUUUUUGGAAACAUACGUGGAAAUAAUAAUUAAUAAUUAUUAAUGGAUUAUUAUAAAUUGACUGAUAGACCAUGGAAUCGUUUUUGUAAGUGGUUCAAUUAUUACAAUUCCUUGCCUAAAAAACAGUUCUCUAAUGAAGAAUGGCAUAUAACUCUCGACCUUAAGUACUAGUCAUUAUGUCAUUCCUUUUACUGAACUAAUCGAUGCUCAGUUUAUUCAGUUGGUUUAAUUCAGCUCUUCAGUUCCUCUUGUUAACUUCAGUAAUCAAGUUAAGACAGUUCCGAUUCUUAUUUAAGGAUCCAGGAGAAGGUUUGUUUCAUUGGUCCUCUGUUUAUUUGUCCUCAGAAGUGCACCAGCACCAACUCAUGUGAGUCAUGUACAGUUUAGUUUUUGUAGUUCCUUGCCUAACAAACUGUCAAUUACUGAAGAACAACACAUUACCUAAUUCAAACCUUAAAAAUAAUAAUCAUUUUGAAAGUUCUUUGUUAACCUAGCUAUCGCUUACUUUAAUUAAUGUAAUUAAGUUUUUCCUUCUCAGGUACUGUAAGCAAACCAAGACUGAUUCGACUUUUACUAAAAGAGUGCUUUAAAGACAUGUACCUAAUUUGUGACAGUCUCUCUUUUGUACUAGUCUAUGCUCAGUUCACGUUUGAAUUGAUUCUUUUUUGUCAAGAAUUGAAAAUGAACUAAAACAUACCGAUCAUUCAUUUUUGUUGUGAUAACCAGUUUUGAAAAUUCUGACAAUCAUUGUGUUCUACUAAACUGAUCACGUAACUUUAUUUUACCUUAUUUUUGUCAAGUAUAUAGUAAGUGUAUGCAGACUGAUUAUUUAAGUUACAAUCAUAGUAUUUAAAAUUUGGGCUGUCACUUUGUUUUACUAGUCCGAUUACUCUAGUUUAUAUAGCUGUUUUUGUCAGGUAUAUAUUGUAAGCAAACGAAGACUGAUCAAUCAUCAUUUAAGUUUUGAUCAAAGUAUUAAAAAUCUGGGCCGUCGCUUUUGUUCUACUAGUCUGACUAAAUUAGUCUAUCUCGCUUACUUUUGUCAAAUAUAUUAAAAGCAAAUCUAGACAGACUGAUGAUUUCUUUAAUUUGCAAUUGUAAAUACUCAUAAUUUUGAUAGCCCUUUUGUGUUACUACUCUGAUCAGUUCAGUUAAUUUUGCUUCUUCUCAACCUAUUUAGUGUAAAGGACUGAUCAAGUUGCAAUUGAAAGUGAUAAUAAUUUGAUAAUCUCUUUGCUAAAUAUUUGUUACUGUUUACUUAAAUUAUUUACAGGAGUUAUGUUGCAAUGUAUUCUUUUUUUGUUUCGUUAGUUUCUUAAGGAGCCUCAAGUCCAUUAAAGUUAGUUUCAUUUAAACAAUAAAAGUUUGGUUCCUUUAACUAUCAUCUUUUAUUUCACAAAAUAUGCCAUUUGAUUUAUUUAAGUAAGACCAACUCCUGGAGGUACUUGUUUUUUCUGCAUUCAUGAAGCAAUUUGUGAUUUCUCUGGUUAAAGAGCGAUGAGGUUGACAGUGCUGCGGAAAUUGUGCAUCUUGGCUUUUUAUAUUCAGUUAAUCCACUCAAAAGUUCUGCUAGACAGUUUUCUGAAAAGAAAUCCUACAUUUUUUCUAUGAAGAGAUUUGGCAGUAAAUCAAUAUAUAUAAUAAUCUCAGAUUGUAUGCCAAAUUGCACAAUUUAGCUGCCAUGCCUUUAGCUUCAUACACUCAGACCCAGAUGUGGAAAGAGCAAUAUUCUCAAUUCAAAGUGUUCAUCUUUGCCCGUAAAGUUUUGUCUUCUGUGAGUUUUUCUCUAACGUAGGAAUACACAAUGUUAAAUAGUGAUUGGAAAAAAUUACGUUUUCAAAGUAGCUUUAAAGUUAUCACAUUGUGCAAGGAUGAGUGUAAACUGCCAUAUAUUUCCAUUUCUGCG
rnacentral:lncRNA from 1 species